rnacentral:rRNA from 1 species
UACGUAGGUGGCAAGCGUUAUCCGGAAUUAUUGGGCGUAAAGGGAGCGUAGGCGGUUAUGCAAGUCUAUGGUAAAAGUUCGGGGCUUAACCCCGUCCGGCCAUAGAAACUGUAUGACUUGAGUACAGGAGAGGUUAGCGGAAUUCCAUGUGUAGCGGUAAAAUGCGUAGAUAUAUGGAGGAACACCAGUGGCGAAGGCGGCUAACUGGCCUGUAACUGACGCUAAGGCUCGAAAGCGUGGGGAGCAAAUAGG